UACGGGGGGGAGCAAGCGUUGUUCGGAUUUAUUGGGCGUAAAGGGUGCGUAGGCGGCGGAGUAAGUUGGGGUGUGAAAUCCCGAGGCUCAACCUCGGGUCUGCAGUCGAUACGAGCAAACUAGAGUGUUGCAGGGGAGACUGGAAUUCCUGGUGUAGCGGUGAAAUGCGCAGAUAUCAGGAGGAACACCGGUGGCGAAGGCGGGUCUCUGGGCAACAACUGACGCUGAGGAGCGAAAGCGUGGGGAGCGAACAGG
rnacentral:rRNA from 1 species